ACAAGAUGAUUUUUGGGAGAGGAACUCAGCUCAGAGUCGACUCCGAUGAGGAUAUCAAGCCGUCCAUCUACAAACUGUCAGGGACAGAUACCACGGCAUGCCUGGCCACUGGGUUCAGCAGACACAACGAAACAACAGACCCUACACAAGCAUAUUCGGAUAUUUUCAAUAAAACGGCACCGGCAGUCAGGAUAUCAGGCGACUCGCUGUACAACCAGGUGGCCAUUUUACCUCCAGUGGAUGAAAAUCAAUGUGUGGAAAGUACAGUUGACUCAUGUUACGACGGUCUGAAACCAGAUCCGAAGGUGAACUAUGUGACUCUGAUCGUCCUUGGCCUCAGGCUGCUCUUCCUCAAGACCAUCGCCUUCAACGUCCUGUUGACUCUGCGGCUGUGGAUCAGUCAGUAAACUCUGCAGACCUUCAGCAGAAAAAGAUGACGGAUUCACACAACGACUUCCUGAUCAAGUGAAUGAAACGUGGCUCAGCUUCAUCGCCGUCUCAUCCUCUCUUUCGUGUUUAAUAACUUGUGUAAAUCACAUCAGCUGUUGAUCUGUUUACGACAGCUUCCUGUAAAACAUGUCCUCUUCAUUCCUGUCUGUGAGUGAUGUUGCUUUCUGUCCUGCUGAUGUAAAUAUCACAUUUUCUUUUGAUUUAACAGACUGAUUGUUUUGCUUUUUUAUAAAUCUGUUCGGUGUGAUAUUUCCUGUGUGAUGCUGUUAAAAUAAAGACAGUUAAGAAAACAACAGA